UGGGGAAUAUUGGACAAUGGGCGAAAGCCUGAUGCAGCGACGCCGCGUGAGGGAUGACGGCCUUCGGGUUGUAAACCUCUUUCAGCAGGGACGAAGCGCAAGUGACGGUACCUGCAGAAGAAGCACCGGCUAACUACGUGCCAGCAGCCGCGGUAAUACGUAGGGUGCAAGCGUUGUCCGGAAUUACUGGGCGUAAAGAGUUCGUAGGCGGUUUGUCGCGUCGUUUGUGAAAACCAGCAGCUCAACUGCUGGCUUGCAGGCGAUACGGGCAGACUUGAGUACUGCAGGGGAGACUGGAAUUCCUGGUGUAGCGGUGAAAUGCGCAGAUAUCAGGAGGAACACCGGUGGCGAAGGCGGGUCUCUGGGCAGUAACUGACGCUGAGGAACGAAAGCGUGGGUAGCGAACAGG
rnacentral:rRNA from 1 species